GAUGUGCAUUGUGGUUUAUGGUAGUUAUGAGACAAGCCAACAUGUCCUGGAGAAGAAAUGAGGAUGUGCAUUGUGGUUUAUGGUAGUUAUGAGACAGGCCAACAUGUCCUGGAGAAGAAAUGAGGAUGUGCAUUGUGGUUUAUGGUAGUUAUGAGACAAGCCAACAUGUCCUGGAGAAGAAAUGAGGAUGUGCAUUGUGGCAUGACAGUUAUGAGACAGGCCAACAUGCCCUGGGGAAGAAAUGAGGAUUUACAUUGUGGUUUAUGUGACGUGAUCAAACAGAUUGUAGGUGUGACUGCCAAGUACACUGUCCACUGUGACGCUGGUCCAUGACCGCUGAACUGUCCCACUCGUCCACUCCGGCUGCUCUGUUUCGCUGAUGUACACCACUUGACCCUCCUUACUGCGCAGGUAUACUGGGCCUUUGAUACCAUACCUGUGGGAAGUAGCAUACAUGUACAGCGAGUCCUACACAACCCUACCUUGGAAUAAAUACAAGAAAGCCAUUGGCCCGAAGCUGGAAGAUGACAGCAUCAACUUUACAACAUUCAUCAUCCGGGUGUUUG